UGGGAAUUUUGGACAAUGGGCGAAAGCCUGAUCCAGCAAUGCCGCGUGUGUGAAGAAGGCCUUCGGGUUGUAAAGCACUUUUGUCCGGAAAGAAAUCCUUGGCUCUAAUACAGUCGGGGGAUGACGGUACCGGAAGAAUAAGCACCGGCUAACUACGUGCCAGCAGCCGCGGUAAUACGUAGGGUGCAAGCGUUAAUCGGAAUUACUGGGCGUAAAGCGUGCGCAGGCGGUUUGCUAAGACCGAUGUGAAAUCCCCGGGCUCAACCUGGGAACUGCAUUGGUGACUGGCAGGCUAGAGUAUGGCAGAGGGGGGUAGAAUUCCACGUGUAGCAGUGAAAUGCGUAGAGAUGUGGAGGAAUACCGAUGGCGAAGGCAGCCCCCUGGGCCAAUACUGACGCUCAUGCACGAAAGCGUGGGGAGCAAACAGGAUUAGAUACCCUGGUAGUCCACGCCCUAAACGAUGUCAACUAGUUGUUGGGGAUUCAUUUCCUUAGUAACGUAGCUAACGCGUGAAGUUGACCGCCUGGGGAGUACGGUCGCAAGAUUAAAACUC
rnacentral:rRNA from 1 species